rnacentral:lncRNA from 1 species
CAUGUGACGAUCUUUCGAUCAGAAGUAUUUUAGAAAUUAAUCACUAAUGACACAUAUCUCAAAUUCUCAACUCUUAAAAAUACGUAUCAUCAUCCGUUAAUUCUUCAGAUGAUUCAUGGAUAUAAUUCAAAUACAAUAUGAAUGAAAAAUAAUUCAAAUUUUAUUAAUUUUAAAAUUUAAUUAUAAAAUUAUACCACUAAAAUAUGUACAUGCGUCAGCCAAUCUUACUUCUAGGACAUACAUCUAACAAACUCUCACU